rnacentral:rRNA from 1 species
AGGACGAACGCUGGCGGCGUGCUUAACACAUGCAAGUGGAGCGACGAACCAGGGCUUGCCCUGGGGCAGAGCCGCGAACGGGUGAGUAACACGUGGGUUACCUGCCUCGAUGACCGGGACAACCCGAGGAAAACUCGGGCUAAUACCGGAUGUGCCCGCAAGGGGAAAGGAAGCUUCGGCCUCCGCAUCGAGAUGGGCCCGCGGCCCAUUAGCUUGUUGGUGAGGUAACGGCUCACCAAGGCUUCGAUGGGUAGCUGGUCUGAGAGGACGAUCAGCCACACUGGGACUGAGACACGGCCCAGACUCCUACGGGAGGCAGCAGUGGGGAAUCUUGCGCAAUGCGCGAAAGCGUGACGCAGCAACGCCGCGUGGGGGAAGAAGGCUUUCGGGUUGUAAACCCCUUUCAGUUGGGACGAAGCUUCUUUGGUGAAUAGCCAAACGGAGUGACGGUACCUUCAUAAGAAGCACGGCUAACUACGUGCCAGCAGCCGACGGU